AAUGAACGUUGGCGGCGUGGAUUAGGCAUGCAAGUCGAGCGAGAAACCUCCUUCGGGAGGUGGAAAGCGGCGAAAGGGAGAGUAACGCGUGGAUACCUGCCCUCGGGUUCGGGAUAGCUGCUGGAAACGGCAGGUAAUACCGAAUGAUAUCUCCGGAUCAAAGGUGUGAUUCCGCCCGGGGAUGGGUCCGCGUCCUAUUAGCUAGUUGAUGAGGUAACGGCUCACCAAGGCAACGAUGGGUAGUGGGUGUGAGAGCACGACCCACCUCACUGGGACUGAGACACUGCCCAGACACCUACGGGUGGCUGCAGUCGAGGAUCUUCGGCAAUGGGCGCAAGCCUGACCGAGCGACGCCGCGUGCGGGAUGAAGGCCUUCGGGUUGUAAACCGCUUUCGGAGGGGAUGAAAUGCGUGGGGGUUCUCCCCCACGUUUGACAUAGCCUCUAAAGAAGUACGGGCUAAGUUCGUGCCAGCAGCCGCCGUAAAAC
rnacentral:rRNA from 1 species